UACGUAGGGUGCGAGCGUUAAUCGGAAUUACUGGGCGUAAAGCGUGCGCAGGCGGUUUGAUAAGCCAGAUGUGAAAUCCCCGGGCUUAACCUGGGAACUGCGUUUGGAACUGUCAAGCUAGAGUGUAGAAGAGGGGGGUAGAAUUCCACGUGUAGCAGUGAAAUGCGUAGAGAUGUGGAGGAAUACCGAUGGCGAAGGCAGCCCCCUGGGCUAACACUGACGCUCAUGCACGAAAGCGUGGGGAGCAAACAGG
rnacentral:rRNA from 1 species